CUUGUGUGGAGGCACCGUUGGGAUACCACCCUGAUCGUAUCUAGGUUCUAACCUGGUACCGUAAUCCGGUGCGGGGACAGUGUCAGGUGGGCAGUUUGACUGGGGCGGUCGCCUCCUAAAGAGUAACGGAGGCGCCCAAAGGUUCCCUCAGAAUGGUUGGAAAUCAUUCGAAGAGUGCAAAGGCAUAAGGGAGCUUGACUGCGAGACCUACAAGUCGAGCAGGGACGAAAGUCGGGCUUAGUGAUCCGGUGGUACCGCAUGGAAGGGCCAUCGCUCAACGGAUAAAAGCUACCCUGGGGAUAACAGGCUUAUCUCCCCCAAGAGUCCACAUCGACGGGGAGGUUUGGCACCUCGAUGUCGGCUCAUCGCAUCCUGGGGCUGAAGUAGGUCCCAAGGGUUGGGCUGUUCGCCCAUUAAAGCGGUACGCGAGCUGGGUUCAGAACGUCGUGAGACAGUUCGGUCCCUAUCUGUCGUGGGCGUAGGAAAUUUGAGAGGAGCUGUCCUUAGUACGAGAGGACCGGGAUGGACGUACCGCUGGUGUACCAGUUGUUCCGCCAGGAGCACCGCUGGGUAGCUAUGUACGGAAGGGAUAAGCGCUGAAAGCAUCUAAGCGUGAAGCCCCCCUCAAGAUGAGAUUUCCCAGUAUGUAAGACCCCUUGAAGACGACGAGGUAGAUAGGCUGGGGGUGGAAGUGCAGUAAUGCAUGGAGCUGACCAGUACUAAUCGGUCGAGGGCUUAUCCAAG
rnacentral:rRNA from 1 species